GCUCAGUUAGUUUAAUUGGUAGAAUGCUGGAUAAUAUACUUUUUAUUACAGAAACGCAGAUUCGAAUCCUGUACUGGGCC
rnacentral:tRNA from 1 species